GGUGGUGCAGCUCAGUGGUAAAGCACUUGCCUAACAUGCACAAGACUCUGAGUUCAGUCCCCAGUACCACCC
rnacentral:tRNA from 1 species